GGAGACAUAGCUCAGCUGGGAGAGCGAGCGACUGAAGAUCGCUAGGUCGGGUGUUCGAUCCACCCUGGCUCCA